AAACUAGGAUUAGAUACCCUAUUAUGCCCUGCCGUAAACUUAGAUGUUUUAGUACAAAAAAUAUCCGCCCGGGAACUACGAGCGCCAGCUUAAAACCCAAAGGACUUGGCGGUGCUUCAGACCCCCCUAGAGGAGCCUGUUCUAGAACCGAUUACCCCCGUUCAACCUCACUACUCCUUGCUUUUCCCGCCUAUAUACCGCCGUCGUC
rnacentral:rRNA from 1 species